rnacentral:sRNA from 1 species
AAAUCCUGCAUCUCCCAGCGGCUGCGGCCUCUGCGGAGCCGUUCGUGUU